rnacentral:rRNA from 1 species
UACGUAGGGGGCAAGCGUUGUCCGGAUUUAUUGGGCGUAAAGAGCGUGUAGGCGGCCAGGUAGGUCUGCUGUGAAAACUCGAGGCUCAACCUCGAGACGUCGGCGGAAACCAUCUGGCUAGAGUCCGGAAGAGGAGAGUGGAAUUCCUGGUGUAGCGGUGAAAUGCGCAGAUAUCAGGAGGAACACCGGUGGCGAAGGCGGAUCUCUGGGCCUGUUCUGACGCUGAGGCGCGAAAGCUAGGGGAGCGAACAGG